CUUUUUUGUAACUUUUCCAUAACUUUUGUCGGGUAUAACUUUUUUGUAACUUUUCCAUAACUUUUGUCGGGUAUAACUUUCAUGUAACUUUCUCCAUAACUUUUGUUGGGUAUAACUUUUUUGUAACUUUUCCAUAACUUUUGUCGGGUAUAACUUUUUUGUAACUUUUCCAUAACUUUUGUCGGGUAUAACUUUUAUGUAACUUUCUCCAUAACUUUUGUUGGGUAUAACUUUUUUGUAACUUUUCCAUAACUUUUGUCAGGUAUAACUUUUUUGUAACUUUUCCACAAUUUUUGUUGGGUAUAACUUUUUUGUAACUUUUCCAUAACUUAAGUAUAACUUUUUGAUAACUUUUGUGAAGUAUAACUUUUUGAUAACUUUUAUGCACUUGUUGUAUUCAUGUUGAAAUAAAAGAUGAUAACUUA